rnacentral:rRNA from 1 species
AUUGAACGCUGGCGGCAGGCCUAACACAUGCAAGUCGCACGAGUGGCGGACGGGUGAGUAAUGUCUGGGAAACUGCCUGAUGGAGGGGGCUAACUACUGGAAACGGUAGCUAAUACCGCAUACCAUCGGAUGUGCCCAGAGGGGAUUCACUAGUAGGUGGGGUAACGGCUCACCUAGGCGACGAUCCCUAGCUGGUCUGAGAGGAUGACAAGCGAGACUGGGACUGAGAAACGGUGAAGACUCCGAAGGGAGGCAGCAGUGGGGAAUAUUGGACAAGGGGCGCAAGCCUGAUGCAGCCAGGCCGCGUGUAUGAAGAAGGCCUUCGGGUUGUAAAGUAAUUUCAGCGGGGAGGCGUGACCCGCAGAAGAAGCACCGGCUAGCUCCGGGCCAGCAGCCGCGGUAAUAC